rnacentral:rRNA from 1 species
GUAGGGAAUAUUGCGCAAUGGACGAAAGUCUGACGCAGCGACGCCGCGUGAGUGAUGAAGGCCUUAGGGUCGUAAAGCUCUGUUGAAUGGGAAGAAAAAAAUGACGGUACCAUUCGAGGAAGGACCGGCUAACUUCGUGCCAGCAGCCGCGGUAAUACGAGGGGUCCUAGCGUUGUUCGGAAUCAUUGGGCGUAAAGGGUGUGUAGGUGGCCAUGUAAGUCAGGUGUGAAAGCCCCGGGCUCAACCCGGGAAGUGCACUUGAUACUGCGUGGCUUGAGUACCGAAGAGGGUAGUGGAAUUCCAGGUGUAGUGGUGAAAUACGUAGAUAUCUGGAGGAACACCGGUGGCGAAGGCGGCUACCUGGUCGAGUACUGACACUGAGACACGAAAGCAUGGGGAUCAAACAGGAUUAGAAACCAGGGUAGUCC